UAUGAAGCAAAAAAAUUGCACUCCAAUAACACAUUUUCUUAUAUAACUUUCUCCCUCUUAUAAGCAAUACUAUUGUUUGUCAUGGCUCGCAGUUAUGCUUUCUAUUUCACUAUUGCGCUCAUGGUGAUGUCUGUUUAUUUGGCUCAGUCUCCAGUACUUGCUGUGAGAGACUUGCCGACAAAUGUACCGGCAGAACUCAAAUCAAAACUAACUGGUGGUAAGAGCUUGAUGAGUGGUUGCGGCGGAUACUGCCGGUCGAGCAGUGACUGCUAUGAUAGGUAUUGUAAGUAUUGUUACUACGAUGUUAUUAACCAUACCUACGGUUGCGGCUAAAGGAUCAACGAUGGCCAACACAAUAUGAAGUCUGUUGCUUCUCAUUAGAUGAUGUUUUUGUGGUUUAUUGUCUUUGUUAUUGUGUUUUCCUUUUUCCAUUUCAGUUUUUUUUUUCUCAUGGAAGAAAAUAAAAUGACUAAGUUCUACUUCUAUCUAGAUCAGGACAAUGUCGAAUGUAACAUCAACAUGGGUUUUGUUGGCCUACAUUAACUGUUCCUGUUGUAUCUGUACUUCUAAUUUUUGAAUUAAACAGUAGUAUAUCAUUUAGCUUAUCAA